CUAAGGUUGAAUCCCAAUACUUGGCUCGCUUCAAAAUCUCAGCCCUAACCCUCGCUGUUGCGCGUUCACGCGCCGUGGAGCCAUGUCCCAAUACCAGUUUAAAGGUAGCUUAAGGGGUAGGGGGAGGGCUAACAUCCCCUCAAAAUUGAGAUUUUCGAUGGGCACCCUCAAAGCGCUUCAGUUCUGACUUGCUCCCACAAUACCUUGCGAGAAAACGGAAAAUCAAGAAAUAUCCUAGACAAGAUGGAGGGCGAAAAGAUGCGACAGGAUUGGAAAAACACAAAUGACUUUGUUGAGUCCACUGCCACCAGCCCCCCCCCCACCUCUCCCUCAUGCUCCUCCACCCCAGGCACCUCUUCCACCACCCCAGACACCCCUUCCAAGAGGAGAGUGCCAGGGGGCAGGCGAGGCAUGGGGAGAGCGAGGCAAAGUUGGCGGAAUGGUGGAGAAGAUGUGAUUCUCCACCAUUCUCUCAAAAGCUGAAAGAGAGUGUGUGUGUGUGUGUGUGUGUAUUUUUAGGUGUGCGUGUGUGUGUAUUUUUAGAUGCGUGUGUGUAUUUUUAGAUGUGUGGUUCAGUGUUUCUUAUUUAAAUAAAGUGUUUCUUCUAAA